rnacentral:rRNA from 1 species
CAGCACCCCGAGUGGUCGGGACGAUUAUUGGGCCUAAAGCAUCCGUAGCCGGUCCCACAAGUCCUCCGUUAAAUCCAACUGCUUAACAGAUGGGCCGCGGAGGAUACUAUGGGGCUAGGAGGCAGGAGAGGCAAGCGGUACUCAGUGGGUAGGGGUAAAAUCCGUUGAUCCAUUGAAGACCACCAGUGGCGAAGGCGGCUUGCCAGAAUGCGCUCGACGGUGAGGGAUGAAAGCUGGGGGAGCAAACCGGAUUAGAUACCCGGGUAGUCCCAGCUGUAAACGAUGCAGACUCGGUGAUGGACUAGCUUUAUGCUAGUCCAGUGCCGCAGGGAAGCCGUUAAGUCUGCCGCCUGGGUAGUACGGUCGCAAGACUG